CAGCUCAGUUGGAUAGAGCAUGGUGCUGAUAAUGCCAAGGCUGCAGGUUCAAUCCCCGUACAGGA